AUGACACCCAUUCCAGUAGUCUGGGAAACUGUCUCUGUGCAGUGUCUGGAAUAUGUCUGGCAAAAUGGUGAUGGCAAUAUGCCCUCCUCUUCAUUCAAUUACCAUCAGUGUUUUACAUUUUCCAGGCUAUCUGGGUGGCCCCAGAGGCCGGCCCUGGCUUUAUGUCCAUCUUUUAGUUCUAUCACAUUUGAUGAAUAUUUGACAAACCAGAAUGCUAUGGAUCAGAGAGGGAGAUUGGUUUCCUGUAACAAAACCACCCAUAGCACUAUAGUUUCAACUGUGGACAUUUGUCUGCCAAAUGCUGAUAUUUGGUGCCAGACAAACACCCUCCAAUCUAUGGAAGUAGGAGUAACAGAUUGAAAGAGAAUUGCGAUUUCCUGCCUGGACCUAGAGAGAGAGAGGAGAGGUGUGUUUCACCCAGAAGAAGCCAAAUGCACUGCAAAACUAUGGAAACGCAAAAGAGAGAGAAAAGACAAACAGCGGCAGACUAGAAGUGACAAAGACAAGCCUUGAAGUGAGAAUUUCAUCUGAAGUGGGGAGCAAGUCAGGAGCCCCUGCAGCCAGCAGGCUUCCAGAGACAGUGUGACAGGUAAAGAAGUCAGCCAACCCAGCCAGCACCUUGGGGAAACCAAGGAAGAGGGUGCAUAAAGCAUACCCAGGUUGAGACUGCCUCUGGCCCCGACUACCUAGAGGAUGAUGCUAAUUCCUACCCAGUGAGAUGCUCUCACGUGGAGGUGAAAUAAUGUCAACAUUUGUAAACACAGCUACCUAAAACUGUUGUGUACAUUUAUGUAUAAUUAACCCAGUGUUAUUGUUAUUUUUAAACUUUUUUUUUUUUUUGAGGAAGAUUAGCCCUGAGCUAACAUCUGCUGCCAAUCACCCUCUUUUUGCUAAGGAAGACUGGCCCUGAGCUAACAUCCAUACCCAUCUUCCUCCACUUUGUAUGUGGGACAGCUGCCACAGCAUGGCGUGCCAAGUGGUGCCAUGUCCGCACCCGGGAUCCCAACCAGCGAACCCCGGGCCGCCAAAGAGGAACGUGCGCACUUAACUGCUGCACCACCAGGUGGGCACCUGUUAAUUUUAAAUUAAUAGCUUUGUGUUGAAGGCCUCAAGCAAAAUAGUUUCAUUUGGACUAUAAGCCCCAGGCCCAUAUGACCCCCUACUCCUGUCAUGAUCUCCAGUUAGACAGGGCCAGUGCUGGAUUUAUUCUUCCAAGUCCCCAGUUCCGAGAACCCCUUAGGUCUUGAACAAUGACCAGUAAUCGGUUAAUAUUUUUGAGCAUUUACUGUGUGCUGGCACUGUUCUGAAUGCUUUACUUCAUUACUUUAUUCGACAAUAGUCACAACAACCUUAUCUUUAU
rnacentral:lncRNA from 1 species